UACGGAGGGUGCGAGCGUUAUUCGGAUUUAUUGGGCGUAAAGGGCGCGCAGGCGGUUUUUUAGGUCGGAUGUGAAAUCCCGCGGCUCAACUGCGGAAGUGCAUUCGAAACCGGAAAACUUGAGUAUGGGAGAGGGAAACGGAAUUCCCGGUGUAGCGGUGAAAUGCGUAGAUAUCGGGAGGAAAACCUGUGGCGGAAGCGGUUUCCCGGGCCAAUACUGACGCUGAGGCGAGAAGGCGCGGGGAUCAAACAGG
rnacentral:rRNA from 1 species